rnacentral:rRNA from 1 species
CCAGACUCCUACGGGAGGCAGCAGUGGGGAAUAUUGCACAAUGGGGGAAACCCUGAUGCAGCGACGCCGCGUGAGCGAAGAAGUAUUUCGGUAUGUAAAGCUCUAUCAGCAGGGAAGAAAUUGACGGUACCUGAGUAAGAAGCUCCGGCUAAAUACGUGCCAGCAGCCGCGGUAAUACGUAUGGAGCAAGCGUUAUCCGGAUUUACUGGGUGUAAAGGGAGCGUAGACGGCAAUGCAAGCCAGAUGUGAAAGCCCGGGGCUCAAUCCCGGGACUGCAUUUGGAACUGUGUAGCUGGAGUGUCAGAGAGGCAGGCGGAAUUCCUAGUGUAGCGGUGAAAUGCGUAGAUAUUAGGAGGAACACCAGUGGCGAAGGCGGCCUGCUGGACGAUGACUGACGUUGAGGCUCGAAAGCGUGGGGAGCAAACAGGAUUAGAUACCCUCGUAAAU